UACGUAGGGGGCAAGCGUUAUCCGGAUUUACUGGGUGUAAAGGGAGCGUAGACGGUCCUGCAAGCCAGAUGUGAAAGCCCGGGGCUCAACCCCGGGACUGCAUUUGGAACUGUAAGGCUAGAGUGUCGGAGAGGCAGGCGGAAUUCCUAGUGUAGCGGUGAAAUGCGUAGAUAUUAGGAGGAACACCAGUGGCGAAGGCGGCCUGCUGGACGAUGACUGACGUUGAGGCCCGAAAGCGUGGGGAGCAAACAGG
rnacentral:rRNA from 1 species